rnacentral:rRNA from 1 species
GAUGAACGCUGGCGGCGUGCCUAAUACAUGCAAGUCGAGCGAACAGAUGAGGAGCUUGCUCCUCUGACGUUAGCGGCGGACGGGUGAGUAACACGUGGAUAACCUACCUAUAAGACUGGGAUAACUUCGGGAAACCGGAGCUAAUACCGGAUAAUAUAUUGAACCGCAUGGUUCAAUAGUGAAAGACGGUUUUGCUGUCACUUAUAGAUGGAUCCGCGCCGCAUUAGCUAGUUGGUAAGGUAACGGCUUACCAAGGCAUCGAUGCGUAGCCGACCUGAGAGAGGGAUCGGACACACUGGAACUGAGACACGGGCCAGACUCCUACGGGAGGCAGGAGUAGGCAAUCUUCCGCAACGGGCGAAAGCCUGACGGAGCAACGCGGCGUGAGUGAUGAGGGCCUUCGGAUCGUAAAACUCUGUUAUUAGGGAAGAACAAAUGUGUAAGUAACUAUGCACGCCUUGACGGUACCUGAUCAGAAAGCCACGGCUAACUACGUG